UACUGAAGCCUGCAAAAUGAACUGAAGUCUGCCAAGUAAAGAAUAAUGACAUUUUAUGUUUUCAGUCUGUAGAUCUUCUUGAUACCUGUGGGAGUUGCAUGCACAGCCAGAUGUAAUAGUCUCUGCAGGUGAAAAUUCUGAAAAUACUUGUCUGCAUACAAGCAUGGCUUCAGGUGUAGCUUAAGAAGAGCUUGAUCCUGGCUGUUGGAAGAGUAGUGUGAAGAGCUAAGAAUGAAAUGGGAAGAAACAUGGAGUUAACUUAGAGUGCUGAUCUCAACGUCUUUAGUGGCCAAAAUGGGAAGUUUAGAUCCAAAUAAUGCAAUAACCUGAGCUGCAGCUUCAAUCAAUUAUUCUGCCUUUUGCAUAAACUACAAGGACUACAAAAGUCAAGAAGACUUGAGAUUCAUCUCCCAGAAAAGGAAGUACCCCACAGGGCUUUCAUGCAGUACUGAGUAUGUUUAGAUACUGGAAAUAUCAUCUCGUACAACCACAAGAGAAGAGUGGGGACCUGACAGAAUGGCCACAGCAAGACAACUGGGCACCCCUGGACCUCCUUUUCCUUUCUCUUCAGACUCCUUGCCUCUGUCACAGCUCCAAACCUGCAGUUUUUCCUUUGAGCAGCAAUAGUGACACAGGAUUGGGACAUACUUGCUUUCAUUAAAUUCUCUGUUUGCUCUGCCCUUGCUAUGACCCUGAAUAGAAAAAGCUGGUCUCCACUGAUUCUUGUGUUUACAGCCUACAGCUGGGAUUAUGAAGUUAAUGAAAUACGUACCUCCAGAUCUCCUGAGAUAUUGGCUCCUGCAAGAAUGCCAGUGGCAGCUGGGAAAAAAAUGGCAAACACCGAGAAAAAUCCUUCUCCACUUCUGAAAUCUGGUCCAAAGUUUUCUGCAAAUAUUGAUGCUGCAAAAAUAGGUGAAAAUGAAACAUACCACCAGGAUUUGAUUUCAAAGUUACAUAAUGAAGGAGGAAUGACUGUCCCAAUGAAGAAGUUUGCAAUAGCAACAAGGAGAACAAUUAGAAGAAUAACUUGAGCCUAUUAAUAGAAACAAAAAGAUUUGCCCGAUGAGUUUAAUUUGUGUUGACUGUGGAGAUGGCUAUAUAGUUUACCUUGGCUUCCCAUUCCAUGCCAGCAACAGAGAUGCCGAGAAGACAUACAACAGUUAUGGUACCUAUUAUUCUGAUGUCAUUGGACUCAUCUACCAUCAGUGUAUCACUCUCCUG